rnacentral:sRNA from 1 species
CAAGAGAAGAAGUUAUAGAUAGUAAAAUUCAGUUUUCCA